rnacentral:tRNA from 1 species
CGGGGCGUGGCGCAGCUCGGUAGCGCGCGUGCUUCGGGAGCACGAGGUCCCGGGUUCAAAUCCCGGCGCCCCGA